AUUGAACGCUGGCGGCAUGCCUUACACAUGCAAGUCGAACGGUAACAGGUCUUCGGAUGCUGACGAGUGGCGAACGGGUGAGUAAUACAUCGGAACGUGCCUAGUAGUGGGGGAUAACUACUCGAAAGAGUGGCUAAUACCGCAUGAGAUCUACGGAUGAAAGCAAGGGAUCGCAAGACCUUGUGCUACUAGAGCGGCCGAUGGCAGAUUAGGUAGUUGGUGGGAUAAAAGCUUACCAAGCCGACGAUCUGUAGCUGGUCUGAGAGGACGAUGAGCCACACUGGGACUGAGACACGGCCCAGACUCCUACGGGAGGCAGCAGUGGGGAAUUUUGGACAAUGGGCGCAAGCCUGAUCCAGCAAUGCCGCGUGCAGGAUGAAGGCCUUCGGGUUGUAAACUGCUUUUGUACGGAACGAAAAGCCCCGGGUUAAUACCCUGGGGUCAUGACGGUACCGUAAGAAUAAGCACCGGCUAACUACGUGCCAGCCGCCGCCGUAA
rnacentral:rRNA from 1 species